GGAGCCGACCCCCUCCCCUUGUUCCCGAAUUGGGCAUCCCGGCUAUUACUGGGAUGAAUUCUGCCCCAAUCUUUGACCGAUCCCCUCAUUGGUUCCAAAAGUGAUUCCUCUGCCUUCAGUUUCUCAGGAAUCUACAAUCCCUCAAGCCGAGGUUAUUUCUUCAUGCCACGAAGACGUUAUCCUAGUGGAGGAUAGUUCUUCGUUUGCUUCUCCUUCGUCUGGGAAUGAUUCUUUCCAUUUUGGGGCUUCUCAAGGUGAACACUCGGUUCGGGCUGGGGAAUAGUCAGGCUUUCCGUACGUGCCUCCUCGGGCUCUCCAAAGAGAAGUUCCAGUUCAAAGUGGGGAGGAGUCUGGUCUGCUGUUCAUAACUGCUCAAGCCAUCCUGUCGUUGGUGUGUGUAGAAUAUUCUCUCCCUUCUGGGAAAGCUAAGUCACAGGAGAUGGGGCCUGGUUUUAAGAAGGCACGGACAAAAUCAUUUGCAGUGCAGGCUCAAAAGUUCAGACCCUUGUUUGCCAACGCCACAGAUCAACUUGCCGAGAUGGUUGCUAGAGAGCGGGAGGCUCUUGAGGAGGAGUUUAGGGCUUAGAAGGCUUUAAACACCCUUAUGCACUUGUAGAGAAAGAAGAUGAGCGAUGACCUCCACAAUUUAACCAUGGAGAAUAAUUCCUUGAGGGAGGACAACAAGUUCUACCAUUGGAAAAUUCGUGCUCAACGGAAGGAGAUUGAAUAGAAGGAGUGGAAGAUUAAGGCAAUGCACCAUAAGGUUCAGACUAUGGCCCUAGAGAUUGAGCUCAAAGAUAAGGAGAUUUAAUUGAGAGACCUAGAGAUCAAGGAGAACAAUACAGAAAUUGUUUCGAAGGUCCAAGAGUUGGAAUUUGCCAGGAAGGAGAUUAAAGAUCUUCAAGUCCACUCCGAGCUUCUUUUUACUGAAAGGGAAAAUGCUCAUGCUGAAGUUUAGAGGCUAGAGUGCGAGUUGGAGCCUAUCUAGGAAAAGCUGAAGCAAUGCAAGGAUGCCAUCAAGACAUUGGUGAAGGAAAAAAAGGCACCCCAUCGAAGUCCGUUGCCAAAUGUUCCAUAAAUACAUCGGGAUCGCCGCGUCUGGAGAUAAGCUAAAGGCUUCAACUCGGCGACUUCAACUCGAGAUUUCUUGUCUAGGGUCUUCUCUGGAAGCAGCUCGGCAUCGCGCAUAUCUUAUUGAAUCUCAACUUAGACAAGCUCCUACCCUGCACAAUGAGGCUUGGAUAUAUGGGUAUUGGGAAGGCUUCGAGCGUAUGCGAGAUAUACUGAUUGAGAAUCUUGAGAUCGAUCUUUGCACCCUCGAUCUUCAAGAGCUCCCUCCAAAUAAGUCGGCUUAUUAUGAAAUGUUGACCAUGGGCAUAGAGGACAUGCCCCUAGCCUUCCGUGAUGCUCCUCCUUAACCUUAAGCUUUUUUGUGUUUUUAUUCUUUGUGUUUCUAGACCUGCCUGGGUCUUUGAUGUAAUUUUGAUAAAUUUAUUUAUAUGAAUGUACCUUUAGUUUGGUCAGAGCAUGGUUGAUUUUAACUUCC